UCUUCUUAUAAUAUCCAUUCCAUUUUCACUCUUCAUACACUCCACCAUCAAGGUUCGUCUUCUCCGCACCGCCUAACCCUUGCCGGAGUGCCUCUACCGUUCUCAGAUCCACCACUGGAUGGAUGCAUCACAUGAACAGCCCCAUAAAUCAUAUAAGCGUAGACAUGUGCAAUGGGUUAGAAUUCUCCCAUGUUAACAUCACUGCACCAAUGGAAAGUCCAAACACCAACGGCAUAGAUAUCUCUGGAUCAUCCAAUGUCUUCGUACACUCUUCCACCAUUCAAACCGGUAAUGACUGCAUCGCCAUAAACUCGGGUUCUUCCUUCGUCAAUAAUAUAAGUGACAUUUUUUGUGGAUCUAGUCACGGCA